CUGGGUUUGACAUGCACAGGACGUGCCUAGAGAUAGGUAUUCCCUUGUGGUCUGUGUGCAGGUGGUGCAUGGCUGUCGUCAGCUCGUGUCGUGAGAUGUUGGGUUAAGUCCCGCAACGAGCGCAACCCUUGUCUCAUGUUGCCAGCACGUUAUGGUGGGGACUCGUGAGAGACUGCCGGGGUCAACUCGGAGGAAGGUGGGGAUGACGUCAAGUCAUCAUGCCCCUUAUGUCCAGGGCUUCACACAUGCUACAAUGGCCGGUACAAAGGGCUGCGAUGCCGUGAGGUGGAGCGAAUCCUUUCAAAGCCGGUCUCAGUUCGGAUCGGGGUCUGCAACUCGACCCCGUGAAGUCGGAGUCGCUAGUAAUCGCAGAUCAGCAACGCUGCGGUGAAUA
rnacentral:rRNA from 1 species